AAGUCGUAACAAGGUUUCCGUAGGUGAACCUGCGGAAGGAUCAUUAACACGUAUCCAACGUUAAACCCCCGUGCAUUUUAACCCUGCUCUCUUCGCCUUGACAAAGCAAUCUCUGGUAAAUCGAGACGCGUGGAUGGAGCGGUAGAGCAAUUAGACCUGGUUUCCGAAAGGAUAACUGAUAUUUACUCAGAUCGUUGACCCUCACGGUCAGCGGACAGGUCUCUGGGCUUACGCCCCAUUUAUUAACCCCCAAUGUAGGUGAAAGUAGUGCUGCGUAAAGUAGGCACACAAAAACGAACAACUGUUAACAAUGGAUAUCUUGGUUCUC
rnacentral:misc_RNA from 1 species